rnacentral:rRNA from 1 species
GUCUUCUUGCUAUAUUUAGGAAGUCUGGCCUGCCCAGUGAAAAUAAUUUAACGGCCGCGGUAUACUGACCGUGCAAAGGUAGCAUAAUCAUUAGUCUUUUAAUAGAGGGCUGGUAUGAAGGGUUUAACGAGGUGUUGACUGUCUCAUUUAAUUUGAAUUUAGAAUUUAAUUUUUUAGUUAAAAAGCUAAAAUACUAUUGGAAGACGAGAAGACCCUAUAGAGCUUUAUAUUUUUAUUAUUAAUUUAUUUUAGUUUAUUAUUAUUUAUUAUUAAUAGAAAGUAUUUUGUUGGGGUGACAAAAAUAUAUAAAUAACUUUUUCAUUUAUUUUACAUUGAUAUAUGAAUAUUAGAUCCAAUCUUAUUGAUUGUUAGAUUAAGUUACCUUAGGGAUAACAGCGUAAUCCCUCUCCAGAGUUCAUAUUUACAGAGGGGCUUGCGACCUCGAUGUUGGAUUAAGAUAAUAAUUAGGUGCAGUCGCUUAAUUAAUAGGUCUGUUCGACCUUUAAAUUCUU